GGAACUGCAUUCGAAACUGGCAGGCUUGAGUCUUGUAGAGGGGGGUAGAAUUCCAGGUGUAGCGGUGAAAUGCGUAGAGAUCUGGAGGAAUACCGGUGGCGAAGGCGGCCCCCUGGACAAAGACUGACGCUCAGGUGCGAAAGCGUGGGGAGCAAACAGGAUUAGAUACCCUGGUAGUCCACGCCGUAAACGAUGUCUACUUGGAGGUUGUGCCCUUGAGGCGUGGCUUCCGGAGCUAACGCGUUAAGUAGACCGCCUGGGGAGUACGGCCGCAAGGUUAAAACUCAAAUGAAUUGACGGGGGCCCGCACAAGCGGUGGAGCAUGUGGUUUAAUUCGAUGCAACGCGAA
rnacentral:rRNA from 1 species